rnacentral:rRNA from 1 species
UAGGGAAUCUUCGGCAAUGGACGAAAGUCUGACCGAGCAACGCCGCGUGAGUGAAGAAGGUUUUCGGAUCGUAAAACUCUGUUGUUUGAGAAGAACAAGGACGUUAGUAACUGAACGUCCCCUGACGGUAUCUAACCAGAAAGCCACGGCUAACUACGUGCCAGCAGCCGCGGUAAUACGUAGGUGGCAAGCGUUGUCCGGAUUUAUUGGGCGUAAAGCGAGCGCAGGCGGUUUCUUAAGUCUGAUGUGAAAGCCCCCGGCUCAACCGGGGAGGGUCAUUGGAAACUGGGAGACUUGAGUGGAGAAGAGGGGAGUGGAAUUCCAUGUGUAGCGGUGAAAUGCGUAGAUAUAUGGGGGAACACCAGUGGCGAGGGCGGCUCUCGGGUCUGUAACUGACGCUGAGGCUCGAAAGCGUGGGGAGCAAACAGG